rnacentral:rRNA from 1 species
AGUGAACGCUGGCGGUAGGCCUAACACAUGCAAGUCGAACGGCAGCACAGUAAGAGCUUGCUCUUACGGGUGGCGAGUGGCGGACGGGUGAGGCAUACAUCGGAAUCUACUUUUUCGUGGGGGAUAACGUAGGGAAACUUACGCUAAUACCGCAUACGACCUACGGGUGAAAGCAGGGGAUAUUCGGACCUUUCGCGAUUGAAUGAGCCGAUGUCGGAUUAGCUAGUUGGCGGGGUAAAGGCCCACCAAGGCGACGAUCCGUAGCUGGUCUGAGAGGAUGAUCAGCCACACUGGAACUGAGACACGGUCCAGACUCCUACGGGAGGCAGCAGUGGGGAAUAUUGGACAAUGGGCGCAAGCCUGAUCCAGCCAUACCGCGUGGGUGAAGAAGGCCUUCGGGUUGUAAAGCCCUUUUGUUGGGAAAGAAAAGCAGCAGGUUAAUACCCCGCUGUUCUGACGGUACCCAAAGAAUAAGCACCGGCUAACUUCGUG